UGGGGAAUUGUUCGCAAUGGGCGAAAGCCUGACGACGCAACGCCGCGUGGAGGACGAAGAUCUUCGGGUCGUAAACUCCUUUCGAUCGGGACGAAUGGCUGAUGGGUGAAUAGCCCAUCGGAAUGACGGUACCGAGAGAAGAAGCCCCGGCUAACUCCGUGCCAGCAGCCGCGGUAAUACGGGGGGGGCAAGCGUUGUUCGGAAUUACUGGGCGUAAAGGGCGCGUAGGCGGCCUACUAAGUCGGACGUGAAAUCCCUCGGCUCAACCGAGGAACUGCGUCCGAUACUGGCGAGGCUUGAAUUCGGGAGAGGGAUGUGGAAUUCCAGGUGUAGCGGUGAAAUGCGUAGAUAUCUGGAGGAACACCGGUGGCGAAGGCGGCAUCCUGGACCGAGAUUGACGCUGAGGCGCGAAAGCUAGGGUAGCAAACGG
rnacentral:rRNA from 1 species